AUGGUGUUCAACGAGGGCGAGGCCCAGC
rnacentral:piRNA from 1 species